rnacentral:tRNA from 1 species
UGGCUCAGAGGUUAAAGCGUCUGCCUGCAAUGCAGGAGACCCAGGUUUGAUCCCUGG